UACGUAGGGGGCAAGCGUUGUCCGGAUUUAUUGGGCGUAAAGAGCGUGUAGGCGGUCUGGUAGGUCAGCUGUGAAAACUCGAGGCUCAACCUCGAGACGCCGGUUGAAACCAUCAGGCUAGAGUCCGGAAGAGGAGAGUGGAAUUCCCGGUGUAGCGGUGAAAUGCGCAGAUAUCAGGAGGAACACCGAUAGCGAAGGCAGCUCGCUGGGACGGUACUGACGCUGAGGUGCGAAAGCGUGGGGAGCGAACAGG
rnacentral:rRNA from 1 species